UAUGGCCACAUCACGUUCAAACAAUGGUUCCCGUCAGCUCACCGAAGUUAAGCAACCUCAAAUCUGGUCAGUACCUAGAUGAGUGACCGCUUGGAAAUACCAGUUGCUGUAA